rnacentral:rRNA from 1 species
UGUUUCCAUUAAUCAAGAACGAAAGUUAGAUGAUCGAAGGCGAUCAGAUACCGCCCUAGUUCUAACCAUAAACGAUGCCAGCCAGCGAUCCGGCUGUGUUCCUCAAAUGACACGCCGGGCAGCUUCCGGGAAACCAAAGCUUUUGGGUUCCGGGGGAAG